CAGAUGAUCUUGAAGGUCUUUUCCAACCCUAAUGAUUGUAUAAUGCAUUUAAGUGCUUUGAACGCUCCUAUACUUACAGGUAAUGUCACAAAACCAUGGGUGUGUGAAAGCUUCUGCCAGAUGACUGAAAGUGCUGCCCAUUCAGGUUGGGAGGUUGCUACAAAGGCUUACCAUUUCCUUUACUGGAAGUUUCUUCUUGCUAACUUCUCCAGUAGAACUUCCACCCAAGAGCCCCCAACUCAGUUCCAAGAAGAGGAUCAUAACUUUUCUUUUUUAACCAAAGCCAUUGAUAAGAGCUAGGUUAGAGGAUGAUCAGAAGUACACUUAGACAAGAAGAAUUUGGGGAGCAGGGUUUUUUAAAACUAGAGUGGUGACAAGGAGCUGGCCUGAAUUGCACGUAUUCACCUCCUGAUGCUGAUCAUCAGGCAAAUCCAUAGGGAAACUAGAUAUUCUUAACCUCCAGUUAUUUUCUUUCAAACUGAACUUAAACUUCUGUCAAGCCAGGAAAAAAAAAAUCUAAUAUGACAGACAGCUACAACAAAACACAAACUGAACUCCAGCAGUAGCUGUAAAGAAAAUGACUAAUUUGAGGUAUACAGAUUGAAAAUGCUAGUGGAAAAGGCUUUCUGACUAAUGUGAGCAGAAUCCUAAAAUAAAGAAUCAUGAACAAUCUAGACGCGUCUCCACAUCUUCAGUUCUCUUUUUGAAGAAGCGUAGUCAUGUCCCUGUGGGAAGUAAUAUGACCCAAGGAUAUGAACAUAACUUUUCUUAUAUCUGUAAACAAGUCAGCAACAGCUAGUGAGUUAGCAAUGAAAUAGAACAGAUGUCAUUUCAUCUUAAUUUUCAGCUGUUUUCUUUCGAUGCUUGCAGAGGAUAAUAAAUUUAUCAGGUUUUAUGAAGGGAUUGGAAAUUAAGCUAGCUUUCUUAUGGAGAUUUGGAAACUUUAAACCUGACCUUCUCAUACAGUAUUUAUAAUCCUGGUGGUCCUGAGAUGAUCUCGCUGAUACGCAGAGCAGCGGCUGGUUUAAAAUAGCAAUGUCACCAUGUUGUUCUAAAAUGAUAUAGUGUAGCAUGUAAUUAGGCGUAAGUAAAAUGAAAAAUAAAAUUUGGUAGCAAAAUUUUAUAAAGCAUUUUACCAGGGAAUUUCCAUUUUCAAAGGGUGGUCUUCUUUAUUUUAGUUAAGGAAACCAAUGCUCACACUUAAUGAGCUCUCUCCCUUCUGUGUUGAAUAGAAAAAUAAAUCCUACGUGCUUUUUUGCAGGGAAACCUACAAAAGACUACUUACUAUGUCUAAAUAAAUUCAUGCAUGUCAACAGGAUUAUCAAUCUUCACAAACAUUACUGAAAUCAAACACAACAGUUCUACUGUCACUGUGCACUCAUGGCUCCAAGGUCAGUCCCUUUACUGAUGAGCAUUAAGCACUGAAUGAUUAGGACAUUAAAGUCUUUACACACUACUUCUUUCUGCAGGAAGAAAUUAUACUAAAUAUCAGGGUUAAAGCUCACCUAAAGGAGAGCAACAGGACACAUACACACAAACACAGAGGAAAAACAGUAGACAACAAGCCCCUGCAACUGCACGUACUCAUCGCAUUAAAGUGACCUAAUUUAAACCCCGCUGCACAGUCCCAGCAGCCCAGGAUCAAUAGGGACAGUCACAACAUGUGUGCUGCUGACAGAGGGCAAAGCAGCCAACAGAGAAAUAGAGGAAACGUUCUUGUCUCACGCCUAAACCACUGAAAAAAAAAAACUUACUGUCUGGCAUUUCUGCCUGUUUGUUUUUCAUUAUUUGAUCAUUUGACCAUGGUAUAUUCCUCUGCAUUCCUCAAAGUGCCAUUUCUAGUACAUAUGGUUAUUUACAUUCACUAGAAAAAGGAAAUAAGGAAACUUAUGAAUACGCUACAGUUAUUUGUAUCGUUCACUGGGUACAUCUUUUUCCCACAUUUUUCUCUAAUUUUGGGGUUGAGAUAUCAUUGCAAGACUUCCUUAUGCUUUUCUUACGUCUUUAGCCCUUCUCAGCAUUAUUUGUUAGCAUCCAUUACACCAAGAAAACUACUCAGCAUCCUCGGUGUAUACUGACUUGGUUAAACCUUUUCUGUCUAAAUAACUGCAUAUUAAUCAACCACAAGUGACCAUAACAAAGUUUUUCUGUACCCAUUUCAAUCACCUCAGCGUUUCUUCAGUGUAAAAUACAACGAAAAUUUUUGUCUCUGUCUCAAAAGAUCAGAUGAUCCUUUUUAAAACUGAAGCAAUUCUUAACUUGAAAGCAAACAGGGAUGGGUAGAGGCAAUGUUUUAAGAAAUGACUGCAUGUUGAGUGAAAAUUAAAAGCAUAUUGGUAUUAGAAGCUCAACAAAUCUAGUAACAACCCUCUUUAUUACAAACACAUUCUCACAAGCUGGUGGGUGUUUUUAUUCAAUGCCCUUUCUUAAGGGAAUGCCGAUAAUAUCAGGCAGAUUGUUUCCAGACGUCCAGAAGCUGCAAGUGUCACGGGUCUGACACAUCCAGCGUUAGCCUGGGCGGCACUGGAACAGCAGUGCCAAAUGAUGACUUGAAAACCCUUUAAAACUCUCGGACCGGUCUCCGUUGCUGAUUCACUGUUACUGCUCUCAGUAUGAACCAAAGGAAAGACAUGCAUUUGUACUGCAGCUAUUUUGCUAAUCUGUUCAGUAACUGAAAUCAAAUCCACUGCAAACAGUGAUUACUAUCACAGGGUCUCUCCUAAGAAUUUAUUAGCAGCAUUUCUUGCAUCUUUCACUUUGACCUUCUGGAAAACUGUUUUGUCUUUCCUCCCCUUCAUUUUGUUUUAUGGAAUUGUUUAUGGAGCAUUUUCCUCCAAUGUUUUUCAACCAAAUGUGGAAAAAAUUUAUUGCACAUAAAAGUUUCACCAGGAAAGGCAGAGUUGUUUACUGUCCAUUACAACAGGAACCCUUAGAUAUUCUUGGCACACACCUUAAUUAUAAAAAAAGAAAGCAUCUUAUGAGUAAUUUACCAUUACUGGCAAAGAUGAGUAGUACGUUUCAUACCUCUUUAAGACAAUACAUGCUAUUUCCUCUUCCAUUCACAUCCACACAGACCCAUGCAGUAAAUAUGCUCAGUGAGAACUUGUUAUUACAAAUGUACCUUACAAAGCUUCAGCUUCCUUUAAGGAAACAGCUAGAACUGUAUGGCCAGCCAGCUGCCUUCAAGUAACUGUGCCCUUAUUACAGUAGUUCUAUGUAUGAUUUUUUGGAACAAAUGUAAUUUAAGUGACGCCUCUGGAGCUGCACCUCUGCAGCUGUGACAGUCAACUGUUUGCUUGGUCAUGCUCUCAACCAGAUCUGUAAAAUUACAUCAUUAAAAAACAGGCAGAAAAGUCUGUCCACAAGCUCUGAUCUUGAAGGCAGCCACACAACAAAGAAGCUUGUGACAUACAGAGUCUGGACAGCCAGCUGUCAUUGAAGGAAACACAGUCUGAAGCCACAUUUCAGGCAAUGCCAAGCCUCUCCUCGUUAACAUGAUUGUAUGUAUGCAGAUUUUUUAAACUCCAGUUAGGACUUCUCAUUUUACGACACAAUAGAAGACUAGAAAAAAAAAAAAGUGAUUUUUUUCUCUUCAUGCCUUGUUUUCUGACAGUUAAAAGCUUUACACAGGUGCACAAAACCUCUUUCUAAAGCCAACAGCAAAAUGUAACAUUUUCAGGUGAACUUUGACUGUACCCUUUCCCUGAAAAUACACCUGGGAUUUAAAGCACUGCAUAGCAUAAUGUGACAGCUCUAUGCCCCAGGAGGCCAAAAUAAGGAAGAAAUAUUAACCGUGUCAUUGUUCUGUUUCUGAAUGCCUUCACCUGCUGAAAGAGCAAUUUAGAGGAAAAAUGCUCUUGAUGUUCUCCAUUAAUAACCUGAAACCUACUCAGUUCUUUAACAACCUUAAACUGCCUGCUGUUACUCAUUUAUUUGGAAAUGCCUUUUCUGUGUUUUGUUUAGGAAAAAAAAAAAAAAAGCAUGCCCACAUAUCCGGUGUUUUUAUGAAACCAGCCUAUAAGAAGCUCUAUUCUGCAUCAUCUAUGAUAAUAUCCAGAGAUCUUUUAAAGUUAUUGAAAUAUCCUCCUUACACAAAGAAUGCUUCAAAUAUAUAGGAGAAUUGAGAUCAAUUUCUUCAGGUGAGAUAAAAUUUUAUAUUUAGAUUAAGUCAAACAUUUCAGUAUUGCUAAUAUCAAAAAUAAACUAUGGAACACACCAUAAUUUUUUGUAUUUGGAUUGUGUACAAUCUAAGUACUGAGAAAAACUGAAACAAAGCAAUCAAACUGAGAAUCUUCCAUUCAUCUGAAAUCAAAUUCCAAAAACUCAGGGAAAUUAAAGAUACCAGGGGUUUAAUGUUGAAUUUUCUUUAUUUAACACAACUUGAAACUUUCCUCGUGCCUGUGAAGGACUGACUCCCUGUUCUCAUUUGCUUGCUUGCCUUUCCUCCUGUAUCCCAGGAAAUAUCAGGUCAUUUCCUGCGCAGCAAUCCAGCUGCAACAGAUUUUCUUCAUUAAAUCAACAAGCUAAAAAUACUUGAGAAAUAUUUAAUGAAAAUUAUACUUCCUCUCGUAGAAAUAUUAGGGAACUACUAUUUUGAGAAAGCUCUUGAAACUCCCAUUUGGCCCUGAGCUUAAAUUCUAUUCCAAAAGGGGAAGGAAAAAAAAAAGCUUUUUAAAAUGUUAGACCAAAGAGAACCCUACAGUGGUGAAGAAUUAGCCUCGUUGAGACAAUGUUUUAAAAGACAUAAAUAUCUCCCUCUCAGUUAUUCAUUUUCUAGUUUCCCUAUUUCCAUUUUGCUGAGGACUAAGACAUGCUGUCGAACACUGUUUCCAUCAGUGUCUCAGAAAAUGGAGCAAAUGGGACAUCAGGAACCAACCUAGUCAAUCAUCAUAUUCUAAGACAUCAACAAUUCCUGAGGGAACUUCUUCUGAAAUCUCUAGUAAGGGGAGCCUUUAGUGUUUCUUGUUUAAGCAAUCUAUUCCAGUAGACAAGUAUUCUUGCAUGAAGAAAGCUUUUUCUUAGUUUCCAGGAGGAAUGGGAAAUAAGCAAGGUUCUGGCCCAAAUGCUGAAGGUUUUUGUUGUUGUUGCUGUUUGUUUUUCUAAAUGAUGUCAAUAAUAUGAUUAAUAAAUUCCCCUCAAACUGGUUGCUCCUGUAAGAUAAUCACCUACCAUUACCCCACUGAGAGAACUCUAGUUAGUACUACUCACAGGCUUACAAACAUGCACAUCCUUUAUCCAAGUUCUAAAAAAGACAAAAAUUAUACUGUUAUCUACUUGCAGGACUGUCUUUGAAAGUAUGAAGUAUUAAAUUAUUAAAGAAGCACCUUUUAAAAAGCAUCCUCUGUAUUGCCAGAUGUAUAAAGAAAACAUGUAAAUACUUUAAAAGAUCGCUUUUAGGUUGUACAAUUUUUGCUACUCCAAAGUAAUUAAUUCCUUGAAUCUCCACUUUCAAGCGUUCAAGUACAAGUUCAAGUGUUUCAAGUACAUUCUUCCCUACACUCUAAUCCUGAAGAUGCUUCUGUUAAAUCAGUGCAUUAGUAACCCAAUUGUAUUCUCAUACACAUGAUGUGUGCAUUUGUAUCAGCGAACGCUGUUCUGAAAAGAGUCCAGAGGUCCUCCAGAUCCAUCUGCCCUCCAUCCAUCCUGGUCUCACGGACAUGGAACAGCAAGCUGAUCCAGAUGUGCCCAGCAGCAUAUUAGGCCACCUAAACUAUCCAGUCUGCUGUUAACACACCAACCCUUGCAGCACGCUCAUGCACACACAGCCCCGCAUCCUUCCAUUGGUUUUCUGUGGCUGCGCCUGGGGCCGUGCUUGUGAGUCAGCUCUCUGGAGGGACAGCAAAGCUGUCUUGAAAAAGCAGCCUCAGGGCAUCACUCAGAAGACAGCCUAAAAAGAGCCAAUACGACUUCUUGCAGUAGUAAUGGCAAACACAUGACUGCGGCCUAUGUGAAGUCCUUCUCCGCUGCUAGGGCUUGUAAACUCCCCAAAGCAAUUAUGAGUAAGGGAAAUUCCCAGCAACAACAACUUAGAGGAAGGGGAGAAAAAAAGAAAGAUGGAAAAGUUGCUAUAGCCCUGUUAAUACAUAUUCAUCAGCUAACUUUUGCAGGGCAACUUCUCCCCAAGGUGAUUCAAGAUUACGGGAGUUUAAAUGUUCCAAUUGAAAAUACCUCCUCUGCUUUCUAAAUAUUUAACUCGCAGAGCAAUAUUUAUUUAUACAAUAGGCUUAAUUACACCAACGUCCUUGGGUUUAUCACCUCAGAUCCAAGGAUAUCUGUAGCUUUUCACUACCUACCAUGCAUUCAGAAGCAAUGCAUUUCAUGGCAUAUAGCAAGGGAGCUGAAGUAAGCUGAGUACUUCUUAAUGUAGUCAGAUGGCUUACUGAAAUCAUUGCAGGGCCAGCUAUUACUGGUCUAAUAUGUUCGUGAUGAAUGUUUGACUACAGCUCUUUUAAAAAUUAUUGCAAUUAUUUGUGAUCACUCCUGUGGCUAACUGAGUUUGCAGUAAGUGCAUUAAGGUUUUAAGAACCCUAGCACUAUAUCCAACAAAAUAUACAGAAGCAAAGGCAGUGGAAGCGUUCCCUGCUUUCAAGCUGUUAAAAUCUUGUACUUUCACACAACUUUUUGCCAUUUUACCCACUCACGCUCCUCUCGCGUCUAUUUUUAGAAGAAAAUUCCAGGCGCUGUGCAAGGACCAGAGACCUGCCCACCCCAAGAGGCCCUGCAGGGAGGUUUUUACCCCCAAAACACGCCUUUUUACCCCCGGCUGCCCGCCCGGCCUCCCCCAGCCGCGGCCGCCAUCCGACACCCCCGGGGGAUCUUGUGUCGCUUAUCGCCGAGGAACUACAUUUUCACCAAAUAUUUGUUUGCUCACUGCCCUGAUAAAAAUAGUAUAAUGGUGCACAUGCACUUGAAGAACUGUACACUGGGAGCAGUAAAGAAUUUAUUUGGAUAAAGUGCAGAUCAAAUUGUAAAGGCUCUCCUUGUGGUUCAAGAUUUCUUCUGUCUUCUCCUGAAAGACGUGGAGCAUGCAAUAGAGAGUACACUUGCUGAAUCUGCAGAUGGCACAGACAGAAACAAGAAUCACACUGGAGACCACGAUGCUUCUCUGAAUAGGAGUCGAAAUAUCAUGUGGCUGCAAAAGAAGGCAAACACUAUGCUGAAAUGGGAGAACAACCUGUAAAACUGAGGAAGGUGUCCUUAGACCUGCUGAACCACCCAGCUGGAGAUCCAGCUGAACUGUGGGGAAAAUGAGACCUGGCUGAAGAAAAUCCAGCAGACAGCCACAAGUGCAUGAACCUAGGUUUGGAAAACGGGCCCUAGGAUGAAAAUCUGAAAGGGAUGGAGUUGUUUAGUCUAGGAAAAAAAGAACAGAGGUUUUGUGGUAAAAGACACCAAGUAUGUAAAAAGCUGCUGCAAAUGAAAAUGGAGUGGUAACGUUUACUCUGCUUGUGAUGGCCAUGAUGAAGUAAAAAGGGUUUGUAUCUUUUAUUAUAUUGACUGAUCUGAUAAACAUGUACAAACUUUACGGCAUAUAAAGCUUUAUUAAGCUUGAAACAGAAGCAGUGAGUAAGGCCAGCCUUGCUGCAGUCUUGCACCUAAGAAUAUCCACACUUUGGCACAGCAACACUUUACCCAGACUGUGGAGUGGCUGUAUCCUUGGGCACUUUAAGAACAGGUUUGGAAAAAGUGAUUUAGUAUGAAUCCCUCUGAAUUAGACCAACUUUAGUAACCCAGUAAGGCCCAAUGCUGUAACUCUUUUCUGAAGACUUUUGCCAAAACACUCAAAAAGCGUGUAUCCACCUGUUUAGAUGCCCAGAUCUAAUACCUAGGUAGCAUGUUUAAAAUUUGCCCAGCUGCCACCUAAUGCUGUAAUCAUUGACAUGCCUGUGGGUUGGCACAUGCAGUUUAUCCCAUUAAUUUUGUUGUAUCAGACUGUGAGGAGUCUCACCUUGGGUGUCCUGCUCUGCUACCAGGUCCCUCCCACAAUAAACAGUGAAUGUAUAAGCUAAAUGCCCCACAGAACUGUAUUUGGGCCAUGACCGCAUGUUGGCUGAGGAGUUAGGAGUCUCAGCUGUGAUGUGACAGACACCUGCUCAAAUCUGUGCUUUUCCCCUGGCUAGAGAUGUGAACAGGAAUUUUAUUCUCUGACUUCCACGGAUAAGCCCUCUCAGAGCUGAAUUAUCUAGCAUCUUUCUCUGCCCAACAAAUACUUGAGCUGAUAUCAAAUUUUGAGGCUUCUUCACAUUAUUUCAGCUAACUCAUAUGCACAGAAAUAAGAUCAUAUAAAGUCUGUGUAAAGAUUUGAAAACACAUUUUAAUGGAAUAAGGUCAAUUUAAGUCACCUCUUCAGCCAACAUAAUGCAUUAGAGAUUCUGCAGGGGGAUGUAUAAAAGAGAUAAAAGGAACAAUGCACUACGGUUAUGCUCCUUCAUGCCUGUGAGAGCAUGGCCUGAAGUCUGCCAGGCUCCUGGUAAAAGAACUGUCUCUAACUCAUUGUACUCCAGGAUGUGGGGUCAAGCAUUUUGGUUUUAAUCUUUGCAGUUUUGUAGAAUUCAAUUUGAAUUCAUGUGGAAUAUUGUCAGAUGCAAUUGAGAAGCUUUUACUUAUUUAUUCACCUACAGAAUCUGUACAGAAGAUAUGUAGGAGAUUAAGAGCCAGAUAGUCUGUCCUUGCAGCUGUACC